rnacentral:pre_miRNA from 1 species
GAAGUACUCCCUCUGUCUCAAAAUUCUUGUCUUAGAUUUGUCUAGAUACGGAUGUAUCUAACACUAAAACGUAACUAGAUACAUCCGUAUUUAGACAAAUAUAAGACAAGAAUUUUGGGACGGAGGGAGUAUAUA